ensembl:lncRNA
UCCUCAUUCAGCAUUGCACUUUUUCCAUAAAGUGUCUUGUUUCAUUAAAAGGUCCUGAUGAUCACUUUCAAAUUCUAGGAUGCAUAUUUGUCACUGAGCUCUGUACUGGGUAGUGAAAGCCUUCUACACUGCUGUGUGUUCUACUGGUAUGUUGUCACAGGUCCACUGAUAGAAGUUCCAGAGUUCUGUGGGAGACGUGAGUCCCAGCCUGCACCUUCCUUCCAGGCCCUUGGCCUCCUUCUCCUCCAACGUAAUGUGUUUGAAAAGAAGAAAUUUAACACUUGGGGCAAAUCAUCAUCGACUGUCAUGAUUCGUUUUCUGUGUAUCAGACGGUCAGGUAGGCAUCUUUUACGACACAAUCGCCUUACGCCAGUUAAUUAUGCGGCAUAAUUAUUGCUGCAAAGACUUGACGGCAAAAAACGCCGGAGGCGGCCACAGCCGGGGGCCUUUCCCGUGAAGGUACCGGCAAUUUCCAAAUGCUGGCAGUGCCCGAGGCUUUAGAAGAAGGACUAUUCAAAGCCUUAAAUUUCUACUCUCUGCCCACCUUCAUCCCGUCGGAAGAAGCGAUGCCACAGGGUUUUAAGAGCUCAUAUUCUGGGCAUUUUCAACCAACGAAGGGCUGGGGUCGCAUCACUCGACUGCUCACUCUUGGAAGUGGGGUGAGGGAGGCUGGCAGCCCAGAGGUCAUGUGAGAGAUGACAAGUGUAGACAUCCAUGCAACUCCUGUCCCCGUGCUCCUGCUGCGUCUGGAUUCCACAGUCCUGGCCCACACCCUGGGAGGCUCAGGGAACCCUAGAGCGAGCUUCUCUGAAAAAUAAAGUUGCCACUCGCCUGCUACCCCAGGUUACACUGGAUCACCACAUAAUGAAAUGAUUUUCCUUCCCCCUUUUAUUUCCUCUCUUUCUUUCAUUCUGAG